rnacentral:rRNA from 1 species
GAGUUUGAUCGUGGCUCAGAUUGAACGCUGGCGGCAUGCCUUACACAUGCAAGUCGAACGGCAGCACGGGAGCUCGCUCCUGGUGGCGAGUGGCGAACGGGUGAGUAAUGCAUCGGAACGUAUCCUGGAGUGGGGGAUAACGUAGCGAAAGUUACGCUAAUACCGCAUAUUCUGUGAGCAGGAAAGCGGGGGACCUUCGGGCCUCGCGCUCUUGGAGCGGCCGAUGUCGGAUUAGCUAGUUGGUGAGGUAAAGGCUCACCAAGGCGACGAUCCGUAGCAGGUCUGAGAGGAUGAUCUGCCACACUGGAACUGAGACACGGUCCAGACUCCUACGGGAGCAGCAGUGGGAAUUUGGACAAUGGGGGCAACCCUGAUCCAGCCCAUGCCGCGUGAGUGAAGAAGGCC